rnacentral:SRP_RNA from 1 species
GCCGGGCGUGGCGGUGCAUGCCUGUAAUCCCAGCUACUGGGGAGGCUGAGGCAGGAGAAUCACUUGAACCCGGGAGGCAGAGGUUGCAGUGAGCUGAGAUCACGCCACUGCACUCCAGCCUGGGUGACAGAGUGAGAAUCUGUAUCAA